rnacentral:rRNA from 1 species
AUACGGAGGAUGCGAGCGUUAUCCGGAUUUAUUGGGUUUAAAGGGUGCGUAGGCGGACGAUUAAGUCAGCUGUGAAAGUUUGGGGCUCAACCUUAAAAUUGCAGUUGAUACUGGUUUCCUUGAGUACGGUAUAGGUGGGCGGAAUUCGUGGUGUAGCGGUGAAAUGCUUAGAUAUCACGAAGAACUCCGAUCGCGAAGGCAGCUCACCGGGCCGGAACUGACACUGAUGCUCGAAAGUGCGGGUAUCAAACAGGAUUAGAUACCCUGGUAGUCCGCACAGUAAACGAUGAAUACUCGCUGUUUGCGAUACACUGUAAGCGGCCAAGCGAAAGCGUUAAGUAUUCCACCUGGGGAGUACGCCGGCAACGGUGAAACUCAAAUGAAUUGGCGGGG